CAGGCCUAACACAUGCAAGUCGAGCGGAGUGAUGGUGCUUGCACCAUCACUUAGCGGCGAACGGGUGAGUAAUGCCUAGGAAUCUGCCCAUUAGCGGGGGACAACGUGUGGAAACGCACGCUAAUACCGCAUACGCCCUACGGGGGAAAGCAGGGGACUCUUUGAGCCUUGCACUAAUGGAUGAGCCUAGGUCAGAUUAGCUAGUUGGUGGGGUAAAGGCCUACCAAGGCGACGAUCUGUAGCGGGUCUGAGAGGAUGAUCCGCCACACUGGAACUGAGACACGGUCCAGACUCCUACGGGAGGCAGCAGUGGGGAAUAUUGGACAAUGGGCGCAAGCCUGAUCCAGCCAUGCCGCGUGUGUGAAGAAGGCCUUUUGGUUGUAACGCACCUUAAGCGAGG
rnacentral:rRNA from 1 species